GAAAUGCGAUAAGUAAUGUGAAUUGCAGAAUUCAGUGAAUCAUCGAAUCUUUGAACACACCUUGCGCUCCUUGGUAUUCCUUGGAGCAUGCCUGUUUGAGUAUCAUGAAAUCUUCAAAGUAAAUCUUUUGUUAACUCAAUUGGUUUCUACUUUGGUAUUGGAGGUCUUUGCAGCUUCACACCUGCUCCUCUUUGUUCAUUAGCUGGAUCUCAGUGUUAUGCUUGGUUCCACUCGGCGUGAUAAGUUAUCUAUCGCUGAGGACACUGUAAAAGGUGGCCAAGGUAAAUGCAGAUGAACCGCUUCUAAUAGUCCAUUGACUUGGGCAAUACUUUUAUGAUCUGAUCUCAAAUCAGGUAGGACUACCCGCUGAACUUAAGC
rnacentral:misc_RNA from 1 species